CAGCUUUCAAUCGAUAUAGACAAUCAUUUAUCUUCGGAGUUUACAGAUAACGAAUUAAAAAUAACAAAUUAAACAAUACAAUAUCGUUAUUACGUUCAUUAUGAUAUGUUUCUAUAAGUGCGUAUAUAUACUUAAGAGUUAUAGGAGUGCGAGUGUUUUAAUUUUGAUCGUCUGUAUUCAUUAUGGUGUUCCUCGUAUACUUAAAAAUUCGGUGGGUGUCUUCUGACAAUUACAACGUAUGGAGGGUGAUCUUAA